AAAAAACUAUAUACAAGGAUAGGCAUGGGACUUCCUCCCAAGUGAGCUUGUUUUAAGUGUCUAGCUUGAGUCCUCACACUCAUUAGGCUCAAGGAGGAUGAUAGAGUAGAAUUGACGUCUCCUCUCCUUCCUGGGUAGAUACAACAUCAAAUUCAGCAUGCUCUCGUGACAAGUCUGUAAUUGAGUACUCAAUGACCCUUUCUUGGUAAGCUCCUUUUUCAUCAUCUGUAUAGUCGUCUUUUCUAGACUGUUUUGAUGUGAAUUCACAUCCUUCUUUUCUAACCAUAGGAAUAACUUCAUCAUUUGGGACGUCCUUGAUGUCGAGUGGAGCUUGGUUGGCUUUCCCAUGGAGCUCUUUAACUUGAUCCUUCAGCUCUUUCACAGUGUGUGUUAGCUCUCUUAUAGUUCUAUCGUGCCAUUUUGACCUCUCCUUGAGUUCUAACCAAUCAUUUGAUGCCCUCACGCUUGACUCUAGCUGUUUGGUUGAGCAUUCUAGUCGAGUAUCAGUUGAGCCUUCCUCGUUCAAUGUAACAUCCUCUGUUUCUGACGCAAUGACACCUAUAAAGAUCUCUAAUCCUGGUACUUCGUUGUGUGAGUCUAAUGACAUCUCAUAGCUCAAGGUCUCACUGGAGAGAAAUCCAGCUUCACUACUUUCAGUUAAAGUAGUUUGAAGGUGAUCUCUGUCCACAAUCUCCUCUAGCAGUUCAUUACCUAGCUGAUCCAUUUCCUCAACUAAGAAGGUUUGUCCUUCUAUUGUUGGCUUCUUCAUAGCGUCCCUGAUGUCAAACUUCAUUUUGACAUCCUCUCCCAGAUUAAGAUUAAUUUUUCCUUGCUUUACAUCUAUUACUGCUCCAACUGAAGCCAAGAAAGGUCUUCCUAAGAUAAGAGGAUCCUUAGAUUCUCCAUCCAUCUCAAGCACAACAAAAUCAGUAGGCACCUCUACUCCAUUAAUCAUUACUGGCACAUCCUCUAAAAGGCCAAAAGGUGUCUUUGAAGUCCUAUCAGCAAGAAUCAAGGUUAGAUCACAAGGCUUGUAAUGAACGAAUCCAAGCUUCUUUACAACAGAGAGUGGCAUUAAGCUGACUGAGGCUCCUAGAUCACAUAGACAAUUAUUGAAAGUCAAUUGCCUAAUGGAGCAUGGUAGAGUAAAAUAUCCUGGAUCCUUUCUGUAAUCAGGUCUUUCACGUACUUGUGCUCGUCAUGUAUUAGCGCGAGACAGUCCACUAAAGGGAUAUCCUUUAUGUGUUUUUCAAGAAGGGCUCUGUAUUUUGCAACCAGAACUUUCUUGAAACGACCAGGGAAUGGAAGCAGAGGUUUGUAAGGCGGUGGCACAAAGUCUAUGUCUUUGGUCUUUGCAGCUUCCGUUUUUUUGGCAAAGGGAGUAGCUGGGGGAGCUUGUGGUCGAGUGGGUUGACUGGUGAGUAUGGGCUCUUCGAUUGGGUUGUCAGCCAAAACAUCAUCUUGAUAAAAAUCCUCCCCCUCUAGAAUUACACUGUCCUCAGUGUUUGAUGUAGGGACAUAUCGAGUUGGCAGCUCUCGAUCAUGUGUGAUGGUGAUGGCAUGGGCGGUUGAAUACUGCUUUGGAUUCUGGAUUGCUUUCCCUGGAAGCUGGCAUGGGUUGUUGUUAACCGAUGGUGAAGCGAGGAUGCCUUCCACAUAUCUCAUCCUAGUGCUCAUUGAUUCGAACUUGCUGUUAAGUUCGACGCCUUGUCGGUCGACUUUGUUGUUUACUUUAGACAGCUUCUUAGCGAUUUCCAUUGCUCCUGUGGCUUGUCCUUGAAUGAGCUGCUGGAGCACAGUCAUUAUGUCUGAAUUCUGAGGCGCAUGUGCUUGUUGUUGAUGUGGUGUGAAACCAGGUGGUGGUUGCUGUUGUUGAUAUCCUCCUUGAAACUGCUGCUUUGGAACAAACCCUAGGCUUUGGUUGUAAGGAACAAACGGUUUGGUUGGUUCUGCUGCUGCUGCUGCUGAGGGUAGACUUGGUCCUGAGGGUUCGCGACAUUGGUGCUUCUGUAUGACAGAUUUGGGUUGGGUCUGUAGUUAUUGUACCCCUUGUUGUAGCCACCUUGAUUAUGAACAUAUCUGAUUUCAGCACACUGAUCGUUCUCCCCCUCUUGUACUUGGAAUGGUUCAUCUUCAGAGAUGAAGUGAACAUGUUUCUGUUGCAUUUGGAUGAUUUUGUCUAGUUUGUCAUUGAGAGCUUUCAUCUCUCUGUGGUGCUUGUCAUCAGUGUUAGAACUGGUGUAGAUGCUUCUGCCAUAGUCUUCAUUGUAAUUGCCACCCGAUUGAGCUAAGUUUUCAACUAGCUCCCAUCCUUCUUCAAUAUCCUUCUUCAGAAAAUUCCCAUUUGAAGCGGUGUCAAGGAGCAUACGUAUCUUAGGCAGGACGCCUCUGUAAAGUGUGUUGAGAAGAGAAGCUUGGGAAAAUCCGUGAUGAGGGCAUUUGGUUUGAUAACCCUUAAAGCGCUCCCAAGCUUCACAGAAGCUUUCAUUUUGCUUCAAAGUGAAUCCGGAUAUCUCAUUCCGGAGUCUUGCAGUCCUGGAGUUAGAGAAGAAUUUUGCCAAGAAGGCCAUUUUGCAGUCAUCCCAGGUCGUGAUUGAAUUCUUGGGUAGCGUCUUUUCCCACAGAUGGGCUUUAUCUCCAAGUGAAAAUGGAAACAAGCGAAGCUUGAAACCAUCUUCACUUACUCCAUUGAUUUUAGUAAGGCCACAGAGCCUCUCGAGCUCGUCAAGAUGAUCUAGCGGAUCCUCCAUUGGCAGGCCAUGAAACUUGUUCCCCUGAACCAUUGCAAUGAGACCGCUUUUGAUCUUAAAGUUAUUGUUCUGUACUGGACGUAGAACAAUUCCAUGACGCUGGUUGUGGUUGUGAGGGAAGUCACCAGCACCAAUGUUGGUAGGUUGCUCUUGCUCAUCAACAACGUCAGCUAUUGUAUCGGUUUCUGUCUGUUCUCUCAGUUGGCGAGCAAUACGAUCGAUGUUAUCGUUGAAUAGGAGGUUCUGAUUUCCUUGUGACCGUGUAUGCAUGCAACAGAUAGCAGCUAGGCUAUAACAGACGAAUCAGAGAUGCGUCUGUAAAGCAGGUUGCAAGGUACCUGAAACACAAAGACAGAAAAGGCACAAUGUUAGUAACUUGUGUAACAAAAACGAACUUUAUCUUAACGUUUCUAAUGAUCUCAAAUAUAGCAAACAAACACCAAACUAGCAACGGCGCCAAAUUGAUAGUAGGAUUUUUAUCAAUUAAUCCCUAAAACACUAUCUUGUCGUUGUAGUAUUUUAGGAUGUUAAUCCAAUCCGGUGUGAUGCAAACAGAUGAGAUAUGAUCAGAAAGCUCUUAGUCAAGCCAAGCAGAAAGUUGGUUGGUUCUAACAGUCCUAGUAUGCAAUAACAAAAAUGAAAUGAAACUAAAAGCAGAAAUGGCAAUGGCAGGCAAGUGAAUGACAAAGCAGAAAUGAUAACAGGCAAUCAAAUGGAUAAACGAUUCCUAAGGAUGGGGGUAAUCGAAUAGUGUGGUCUACUUAAUCUAUUCAGGCGGUUGACAAAACUUCACAGAAGCUAUCCCUAGACAACAAGUUCAACAACAGAUUAAUUCACUCCCGUGAUGGAAAUCCUCAAGCAAAGCUAGACACUGACCUAAAUCCCUUUAGCGAUCUCUAACUAAGCAGGCAUUAUCGAAUCAACAUGUUAAAGUCAAUACCCACUCUACAGCCAAUCCCUUGGGGUAGAGUCAGAUAUCUGUGGAAUUAAUAGGAUCCAACGCCCAUUAAACGCCUUCUGAGCGCUGGACGUCUGGACUCAUAUUCCACAUUAGCCAGUGAAACAAGAAGUAAGCGCAACUAAUCCAGAAGGGAUUCUAGUAUUCUAAACUCAACCACCUAAAACGACCAAGUAAACCACAACUAUUCUAUCCCAUCCUCAGAAAUACAGUUCACUACUCAAACAUAAUCAAAGACAAUAGCAAAGCAACAAUUGAAAACAUGAUAACAGAAAUGACGAAAGACUUAAACGAAAACUGAAUAUCAAAUACUUGAAAGGGAAAAUACAAAGUCGCAGGAGAAACACUGCGGCUAUCAAAGUUGCGAAAAUGUAAAAGCGAGAUAAUAACGGAUAAUAGCGGAUGCCCUAGGGAAAACCCUAAGAGACAGUUUAUAUAAGCGAGAAAUGAAACAAAUAAGGAAACUAAAUAUAUAACGAAUCUUCACGUCAUGAUCCUGCGACCGAAUAUGUCAUUGGCAUCUGACGGGCUGAAAUGAGCAUCCUAGUGAUCGAGUAUGUCAUUGAUCAAACUGGGCUUCAGGGGCUCCGUCUUGCGAUCGAGUGAGAUGCAGUGAAGUCGAGAUUGAAUGGUCCAGCGACCCUGUGAUCGAGUGCGAUCGAGUGGAUGUCAUGAGAUGGUGAUCGAGUGGUUUCUUUGGCUUCUCUUCUCUUCUUUGUUCUCACCUUGUCUCGUUGAGUGCAGAAUGAGCAGAUAGGCUUCCUGGUGAUCGAGUGGUUCCGGUGGGGUGAUUCCUCCGGCUUCGCGAUUGAGUGAAACUGAGCUGCUUGCUUCUCCGGGGUUGCGAUAGAGUAAUUUGCCCUGGCAGGGAUCCGAGGCUGCGAUAGAGUACUUUUGCGGAAGACGUCAUUGGGCAUUCUGACUUCAUGUUCUGUUUUUCCUCUGUUUGAACUCCAAAAGCAUCCAAAGUACCUGAAAAUAACCAAAUAUGCCAUGCACAUGCAAUCCUAAUGCAAAAUCGUCCUAAGUAUGUAAAACACACUAAAACGACUCCUAAUGAGAUGGAAUGUGGAUGAAACAAUGACAAAGUGAUGAAGAAUGAAUGCCUAAAUCAUGCAAAUUAUAGACAUAUCAUGUGUAAAUGUAUUGAAUCCCUUCUCGAUUAGUUGUGUUUACUGCUUAUUACUUUCUGAUCAACUAGGAUCCGAUCUUAAACGUUCCAACGCUCAGAAGGCGUUUAAUGGAACGUUGGAUCUACUAGUUCUAUUGGUAAUGGUCUCUAUCCCAAGGGAUUGGCCGUUUAAAGCAGUUAUUGGCUUUAACAGUCAGUUCUUAAUGCCUGCUUACUUAGAGAUCGCUAAUGGGAAUUAGGUAUGUGUCUAGCUCUACUUGAUGAUUUCUAUCACAUGAGUGAAUUAAUCUGUUGUUGAACCUGUUGUCUAGGGAUAGAUUCAUUCAGAUUUGAUAACCAACUGAAUUGAUUAGGGAGACUACACUAUUCGAUUACCCCAUCCUUAGGAAUUUCUCAUCCAAUUGAUUUCUCUGUUUAUUUACCUGCUUCAUUCACUUGCUGAUUCGUGGAUCAAGAAAUGGACAAAUGCAUGUGGCUCCACUAUCUUGUAACAAUCAAAUUUGGAGAUGUUUAAAGUGUUUGUGAUCUCAAAAUUAGGACAAUA
rnacentral:sRNA from 1 species